AUGGAGUUUCUUAGCCCAAGCUCAUAUGAGCUCAGACAAACAGUAAAAUCAGGAAAAAAUGUGAAACAAUUGAAAAAAUUAUCAAUUUUUUUAGUGACGUACAUUGACAAAAGAUUUUUAAUGAUUGCAAAAUUUCAUCGUGAAAUGACAUUUGUCGAAGCCCUGGCUAAAAAAACAAUUGAUGCUCCAAAAAUAUCAUUUCCAAUAGCAUUUUGGAAUGAUGAUUUUUUUCCACCGCUUCAACCAACAUUAUUUCACGAUGAAAUUUUACAAUCAUUCAAGACUUUUGUCACGAAAAAAAUUCAGGAAUUUUUUUAUUAUUUUCAAUAUUUCUCGAUUUUACUGUUCACCAGAGCUCAUUUGAGCUUGGGACUAGAAGUGUAUUUUUGGUUAAAGUAUUCAUUUGUUCAUAGUUGUUUACAUCCUAACUAA
rnacentral:rRNA from 1 species